GACGAACCGUGCGAACGUUGUUCGGAAUCACUGGGCUUAAAGGGCGCGUAGGCGGCUUCGCAAGUCCGGGGUGAAAGCCCCCAGCUCAACUGGGGAAGUGCCUUGGAUACUGCCGGGCUGGAGGGAGAUAGGGGCACGCGGAACUUCCGGGUGGAGCGGUGAAAUGCGUAGAUAUCGGAGGAACGCCGGUGGCGAAAGCGGCGUGCUGGAUCUCACUGACGCUGAUGCGCGAAAGCCAGGGAGCAA
rnacentral:rRNA from 1 species